GGAACCCACAAGUCUGUUUGAUUAAAAUAGAGAGAAAUCCUGAUAGAUAAUUUGUUUGUUUAUUUUAUAGCUGAAGAGGGUUUUUAACAGAUAAAAUGGGUGCAGAUGAUAAUUGUUUGUCCAUAUGUGGACGCAUCAUUUUGGGUGUGUUAAACACCAUAGUAAUGGUAAUCGGCUUCAUAUUACUAAUUGUUGGUAUUUUAGUAUUUGCUUAUACACCGGCAUUGGACUUGCUCUUCGCCACAGCUACGGAUUCUUUUGCUAGUGCUAGUACUGGAGGCAGUGCUGCGUUUGGAGCAGAGAAUCUUGUGGACUUGGUCAAGGUUGCCGCUUAUGCUCUCAUUGGCUUUGGUGUGUUUUUCUUCUUGAUUGGUUUGCUUGGUCUAAUUGGAGGUUGCUGUAAAGUGAAAUGUGCUCUGAUUGUGUAUGUGAUUUUGUUGUUGUUGCUUAUUAUCGCCCAGAUUGUUGCCCUUAUUAUAUUAUUUUCACAGAGACAAGUGAUUGAUGGCAGUAUUAAACAACCGUUAGUAGAUAUGACCAACAAAUACCAGAAGUACGAUGCUACAAAUUCAGAGACCGUUACCAUGAAUUUCCUUAUGUAUACGUUGAAGUGCUGCGGUGUUGAUAGUUAUAGGGAUUUUACAAAAGUAUCAGCAGGUGGAACAUGGGAUAGCACGGCAACGGGUCAAGAUCUAACAACUCCUGUAAUGUGUUGUGCCUCAGCGAACUCAGCUAGUACAGCUUGUGCCCAGAGUCCUGGUUACAUGGAUCCUAGCCUCAGCAACGCAGAAAAGGGUUGUUACAAUGAAAUAUGGAGUUCUGUGGAUACACAACAAGCACUCGUUAUUGGAGUCUGGUCAGCCAUCAUAGUGCUUCAGGCCAUCUUAGUAUUCUUUGCUAUUUACAUUAUCUACAGAAUGGCAAAAUCAGAGGCAUCAGUGGGUGUCUAAUUUUAUUUUAUUAUACCCAGGAAAUUCCUGCUGUUAAUAUUCCCACAUUUGACCCUCCGUAUAUAUUGGCUAUAUGAGCACCUGAAACUAAAAACAAAUGUUGCAAAUGAAGACAUAAAAGUUAAGUCAAGUACAUGGUGACAGGUAUUAGAUAUUUUAAAAGACUUUAAUUAAUUUCAGACUACAACAUGCUCAAUGAUACACAAUAUAACAAAUAGAACAAUGUUCAAAAUACUUUAAUGUGAAAAACUAUUAUCAGUUUAGUGUUUCGAUGCGUCAAUUUAAGCAAUAUGAAUCCCUUGCAAUCUACAAUAUUGUAAAAGAUGAAUGGCUAAUAGGAAUAUCUGUUGACGAAAUGGUUCAAUUCCAUUCAGUAUAUACAAAGUUUUGUAAGUCGGGGCAUUAUCUAGCGUAGGUAUUUCGAUUGUAUUUUCUUAACUAAAUGCCCAAUUCAAUCGGAAUUCAUAUUUAGUGUGUAUUACACCUCAAGAAAUUUGAUAUAUUAGCGAAAACUCAAAUGACGCAUCGAACCCUUAAUACAACAAAAUUUUAUGAAUGAUGACCUGGCUUGUACGAAUAUGAUUUUAAACUUAUUAGGACUUUUAUAAAACACAGGGUAUACGGAAAUUAAUUAAUGUUUGGUUUUAGUUAGAGUGCGGUAGGUUGAAUGCUGUCUUAUAUCGGGAUCUAAUUCUUCUGUAACUGAUUCUUUAAACUAUGCAAUUAAGUAUUAUAGAAAUAAUUAUCACAACAAUAUUAAUACACAGUGUAUGUAAAUAGUGUACAAAAACAUAAAUUAUAUUUUUAUAUCUAUUUUUUAAAUAUAUGAUAUAUUCAUAAUACCAGAAAUAUCAAUAAUUCAAAUUAAUAUGAUUGUGAAUAUUUUAAACGAAUGAAUAAUAUAAUAUUGUAAAGAGGGGGGCCGAAUUAGUGUACAUGGAUAGCAAUAAACUGUCCGUUCAGCUAAAUACUGAUCUAGAUUGACAUAAUAUUCUAUUUAAGAGAAAUGUAUUUCUUACCUUAUUUCAAAUACUUUCCACACAGUGAGGCAGAAUCGCCUGAAAUAGUUUUCGCACAGUAAAUAUGGAAAUUGAAGGGUAUUAGUCAAUGAAGUUUAUCGAGUCCUCUGUUCUUCAUUCACUGUACAAUGUUAUCUAGAAAUAAAAAUACAA